AGUGAAAAAAAUAUUAGUCAUUUGAUGGGUUAAAAGGAUAUAGAUGAAACUGUUUCAAUAGGACGGCUGUGGGACCCAGGAAGUUUGCAGGGGCUGUGUCAUCACACACACACAAUGACUUUAUCAACAGCCCAUCCUGCUUCCCCACUACUGGGAGACAUCCUCUCCAGCCCCAACUGUGCCAUGACUAUCAGGCUCCUCUGCCACCUGACCUUUUAUUUUCUGGGGGCAGGCCUUAUGGAAGCUGAUAUCUACCAGAACCCAAGACACCGUGUUAUAGGGACAGGAAAGAAGAUCACUCUGGAAUGUUCUCAAACCAUGGGCCAUGACAAAAUGUACUGGUAUCAACAAGAUCCAGGAAUGGAAUUACACCUCAUCCACUACUCCUAUGGGGUUAAUUCCACAGAGAGGGGAGAUUUUUCCUCUGAGUCAACAGUCUCCAGAAUAAGGAUAGAGCAUUUUCCCCUGACCCUGGAGUCUGCCAGCCCCUCACACACCUCUCAGUACCUCUGUGCCAGCAGUGAAUACACAGUGCUACAUGGAUACCGACACUCUGCACAGAAUGGGUCGCCUCUAAGGGGUCCCAUGAAGGGGCAAGAAACUCAAUUGUGAUGCACGUGUUUUUCCCUUUAUUAAUGUUCAUGACUCCUCCUAUAGCUUAUUGAAUAUCUAUAUUUGGCCAUUCCACUCAGUAUGUAUUUCUUUUCCCUUUGCCCCUCCUUAGAUGUGUCUGUUUCUGGCUUCUGGCCAGAGGCUGUGCUUCCCAGCCUCUCAGAAUGGCCACACUGCAGGCUGC